rnacentral:rRNA from 1 species
UUCGGUUUGGGUGGCGGACGGGUGAGUAACGCGUAAAGAACUUGCCUCACAGAUAGGGACAACAUUUGGAAACGAAUGCUAAUACCUGAUAUUAUGAUUUUAGGGCAUCCUAGAAUUAUGAAAGCUAUAUGCGCUGUGAGAGAGCUUUGCGUCCCAUUAGCUAGUUGGAGAGGUAACGGCUCACCAAGGCGAUGAUGGGUAGCCGGCCUGAGAGGGUGAUCGGCCACAAGGGGACUGAGACACGGCCCUUACUCCUACGGGAGGCAGCAGUGGGGAAUAUUGGACAAUGGACCAAGAGUCUGAUCCAGCAAUUCUGUGUGCACGAUGAAGUUUUUCGGAAUGUAAAGUGCUUUCAGUUGGGAAGAAAAAAAUGACGGUACCAACAGAAGAAGUGACGGCUAAAUACGUGCCAGCAGCCGCGGUAAUACGUAUGUCACAAGCGUUAUCCGGAUUUAUUGGGCGUAAAGCGCGUCUAGGUGGUUAUGUAAGUCUGAUGUGAAAAUGCAGGGCUCAACUCUGUAUUGCGUUGGAAACUGUGUAACUAGAGUACUGGAGAGGUAAGCGGAACUACAAGUGUAGAGGUGAAAUUCGUAGAUAUUUGUAGGAAUGCCGAUGGGGAAGCCAGCUUACUGGACAGAUACUG